CACGUAUGGGGCGAGCGUUGUUCGGAGUUAUUGGGCGUAAAGGGCGUGUAGGCGGCUUUGCAAGCUUGGUGUUAAAGGUUUCGGCCUAACCGGAACAGUGCGCUGAGGACUGCGGAGCUGGAGUCCAGGAGGGGGAGCUGGAAUUCCUGGUGUAGGGGUGAAAUCUGUAGAUAUCAGGAAGAACACCGGUGGCGAAGGCGAGCUCCUGGCCAUGGACUGACGCUGAGGCGCGAAAGCGUGGGGAGCAAACAGGAUUAGAUACCCUGGUAGUCCACGCUGUAAACGAUGUGCACUAGGCGUUGGGGGCUUUCAGCCCUCGGUGCCGUAGCUAACGCGUUAAGUGCACCGCCUGGGGAGUAUGCCCGCAAGGGUGAA
rnacentral:rRNA from 1 species